GAUGAACGCUGGCGGCGUGCCUAAUGCAUGCAAGUCGAGCGAACAGACGAGGAGCUUGCUCCUCUGACGUUAGCGGCGGACGGGUGAGUAACACGUGGAUAACCUACCUAUAAGACUGGGAUAACUUCGGGAAACCGGAGCUAAUACCGGAUAAUAUAUUGAACCGCAUGGUUCAAUAGUGAAAGACGGUUUUGCUGUCACUUAUAGAUGGAUCCGCGCCGCAUUAGCUAGUUGGUAAGGUAACGGCUUACCAGGGCAACGAUGCGUAGCCGACCUGAGAGGGUGAUCGGCCACACUGGACCGUAGACACGGUCCAGGCGCCUACGGGAGGCCGCAGUCGGGAAUCUUCCGCAAUGGGCGAAAGCCUGACGGAGCAGCGCCGCGUGAGUGAUGAAGGUCUUCGGAUCGUAAAACUCUGUUAUUAGGGAAGACCAAAUGUGUAAGUAACUAUGCACGUCUUGCCGGUACCUAAUCAGAAAGCCCCGGCUAACUACGUG
rnacentral:rRNA from 1 species